UUGGGCGUAAGCGCGCGCAGGUGGUUCUUUAAGUCUGAUGUGAAAGCCCACGGCUCAACCGUGGAGGGUCAUUGGAAACUGGGGAACUUGAGUGCAGAAGAGGAAAGUGGAAUUCCACGUGUAGCGGUGAAAUGCGUAGAGAUGUGGAGGAACACCAGUGGCGAAGGCGACUUUCUGGUCUGUAACUGACACUGAGGCGCGAAAGCGUGGGGAGCGAACAGGAUUAGAUACCCUGGUAGUCCACGCCGUAAACGAUGAGUGCUAAGUGUUAGAGGGUUUCCGCCCUUUAGUGCUGCAGCUAACGCAUUAAGCACUCCGCCUGGGGAGUACGGCCGCAAGGCUGAAACUCAAAGGAAUUGACGGGGGCCCGCACAAGCGGUGGAGCAUGUGGUUUAAUUCGAAGCAACGCGAAGAACCUUACCAGGUCUUGACAUCCUCUGACAACCCUAGAGAUAGGGCCUUCCCCUUUUGGGGGACAGAGUGACAGGUGGUGCAUGGUUGUCGUCAGCUCGUGUCGUGAGAUGUUGGGUUAAGUCCCGCAACGAGCGCAACCCUUGAUCUUAGUUGCCAGCAUUCAGUUGGGCACUCUAAGGUGACUGCCGGUGACAAACCGGAGGAAGGUGGGGAUGACGUCAAAUCAUCAUGCCCCUUAUGACCUGGGCUACACACGUGCUACAAUGGAUGGUACAAAGAGCCCGCAAACCCGCGAGGGUAAGCUAAUCUCAUAAAGCCAUUCUCAGUUCGGAUUGCNGNCUGCAACUCGCCUGCAUGANGCCGGAAUCGCUAGUAAUCGCGGAUCA
rnacentral:rRNA from 1 species